GAUGAACGCUGGCGGCGUGCCUAAUACAUGCAAGUCGAGCGAACAGACGAGGAGCUUGCUCCUUUGACGUUAGCGGCGGACGGGUGAGUAACACGUGGAUAACCUACCUAUAAGACUGGGAUAACUUCGGGAAACCGGAGCUAAUACCGGAUAACAUGUUGAACCGCAUGGUUCAACAGUGAAAGACGGUCUUGCUGUCACUUAUAGAUGGAUCCGCGCCGCAUUAGCUAGUUGGUAAGGUAACGGCUUACCAAGGCAACGAUGCGUAGCCGACCUGAGAGGGUGAUCGGCCACACUGGAACUGAGACACGGUCCAGACUUCUACGGGAGGCAGCAGUAGGGAAUCUUCCGCAAUGGGCGAAAGCCUGACGGAGCAACGCCGCGUGAGUGAAGAAGGUCUUCGGAUCGUAAAACUCUGUUAUUAGGGAAGAACAAAUGUGUAAGUAACUAUGCACGUCUUGACGGUACCUAAUCAGAAAGCCACGGCUAACUACGUG
rnacentral:rRNA from 1 species